UAGGGAAGAAAUCUGGAAGAGCGUAUAAAGAAAUAGAAGCACGAGUGUAUCGGGAGAAUGAUCUAAGCAAAGGUGGUUGCUUGAAGGCAGAAGGAAAAGUAAUUGCUACACAACGUGCCAGGAAUAAUAAAAGAGAGAGUAAUAUGAAUUGUAGAGUAGAGACAUUUGGGAAGGUUGUGAAGGGAUUUGAUGAGAGGAAGCGAAAGCUAGUGAUGGAGAUGGGCUUUGGAGGUCUUUUGUUUUUCGCUGGUAAAAGUUUGCCUAGGACCUUUUGUUAUUGGCUGUGUACAAGGGUUGAUGUUAAGAAUAGGGUGUUGUUGAUGCCCGAUGGGCUUGAAUUCCCUCUUAGUAAGACACAGGUUUAUUGGGUUAUGGGUAUUCCGGCGGGGCCGAAGAGUGUACCAUUCUACGGUGA